rnacentral:tRNA from 1 species
GUGGUUGUGGUUCAGUGGUAGAGUGCUCACCUAGCACGUGUGAGGCACUGGGUUUGAUACUCAGCACCACA